GUAGGUGGCAAGCGUUGUCCGGGAAUUAUUGGGGGCGUAAAGCGCGCGCAGGCGGUUCUUUAAGUCUGAUGUGAAAGCCCACGGGCUCAACCGUGGAGGGUCAUUGGAGACUGGAGAACUUGAGUACAGAAGAGGAAAGCGGAAUUCCACGUGUAGCGGUGAAAUGCGUAGAGAUGUGGAGGAACACCAGUGGCGAAGGCGGCUUUCUGGUCUGUAACUGACGCUGAGGCGCGAAAGCGUGGGGAGCAAACAGGAUUAGAUACCCUGGUAGUCCACGCCGUAAACGAUGAGUGCUAAGUGUUAGGGGGUUUCCGCCCCUUAGUGCUGCAGCUAACGCAUUAAGCACUCCGCCUGGGGAGUACGGCCGCAAAGGCUG
rnacentral:rRNA from 1 species